GAUGAAGAACGCAGCGAAAUGCGAAAAGUAAUGUGAAUUGCAGAAUUCAGUGAAUCAUCGAAUCUUUGAACGCACAUUGCGCCCGCCAGCACUCUGGCGGGCAUGCCUGUCCGAGCGUCAUUUCAACCCUCAGGGCCCCUUCGGGGGACCUGGCGUUGGGGAUCGGCCCGCCCCCGUGCGGCGCCGUCCCCGAAAUAUAGUGGCGGUCUCGCUGCAGCCUCCCCUGCGUAGUAGCACACCUCGCACUGGAGAGCGGCGCGGCCACGCCGUGAAACCCCCAACUUCUGAAUGUUGACCUCGGAUCAGGUAGGAAUACCCGCUGAACUUAAGCAUAUCAAUAAGCGGAGGA
rnacentral:misc_RNA from 1 species